rnacentral:rRNA from 1 species
UAGGGAAUCUUCGGCAAUGGACGAAAGUCUGACCGAGCAACGCCGCGUGAGUGAAGAAGGUUUUCGGAUCGUAAAACUCUGUUGUUAGAGAAGAACAAGGACGUUAGUAACUGAACGUCCCCUGACGGUAUCUAACCAGAAAGCCACGGCUAACUACGUGCCAGCAGCCGCGGUAAUACGUAGGUGGCAAGCGUUGUCCGGAUUUAUUGGGCGUAAAGCGAGCGCAGGCGGUUUCUUAAGUCUGGUGUGAAAGCCCCCGGCUCAACCGGGGAGGGUCAUUGGAAACUGGGAGACUUGAGUGCAGAAGAGGGGAGUGGAAUUCCAUGUGUAGCGGUGAAAUGCGUAGAUAUAUGGAGGAACACCAGUGGAGAAGGCGGCUCUCUGGUCUGUAACUGACGCUGAGGCUCGAAAGCGUGGGGAGCAAACAGG